ACCUCAGGUGAUCCACUCGCCUCAGCCUCCCAAAGUGCUGGGAUUACAGGCAUGAGCCACCGAGCCCAGCCAGGGCUAGAUAUUUUCCAGAUGGCAGCUCCAUCUUCACUUCUCUGCCAGUCAUGUGUUCUGUAAGGAGCAGACAAGAUGGCCCCAUCAACUGGAAAACCCAUUUGCAUAAUAAGAGCAGCCUUCUCCACGCACUGUGUAAACCUCACACCUGAUCGAACCAAUCUGUGAUCCCUACGUAACUCAGACGCUGCCUCCUCAAAUGACUGCACAACACGGUGCAUUCACCAGCAGUGGGUCCUUUCUGCUUGGAGACCCCUUCCUCCACAGAGGAAGCUCUUUCUCUUUCUCUCUUCUACCUAUUAAACCUCCGCUCCUAUACUCCUCCUGUGUGUCCCUGUCCUAAAUUUUCCUGGCAGGUGACAGCAAAUCCUAGGGGAUCUACCCCAGACGAUGUAGCUGCUUCAUUAGGAUACUGAGGCCCAGAGAGGAAAUGAGAGUCUCAGGACUCAUUCCACACCAGCGGGUCCAUGGGCCAUACCCUCCGACCCGCCCAACACAAGCUCUUCCCCAACUGUUUGAAGAAGGGAAGGAAGUGAGAAAUAAACUUUAAGCAGAUAUCAAUGUCAGUUGAGAUAAACAUCAAGCUUUAUUGACUUAAGAGGUAAAUAUUGACAGAACUGAAAUGCCAAAUCAAUAUUUACCUCCAGGGAUGCUAUAGCCUGAAUUUGAAGUCGGGCUAUGUGCACGUCAACACAUCUCCAAGUCCCAACGUCUUCAUCAGCAGUAUGUGAUCAUUUCAGUGACGGGCUAAAAUUGAAAGGUGUGAUGAGAGAUUUCCAGAGGGUCCUCUCAUGGAGGGCUGGGGAGAAGUUCAUGAUCACCAUGAGGGUUCAUCAGCACAGACCCGGAGGGUCAGUGUCUGAAAACUGCAUCACUGGCACAGAAUGACUGUGACUGAAUUUGCUUCACUUUUUGCUGAGCACUCACCUGACAGAGCAUAAGAUUCCAGCCAGAAAGGCACUGAGCACCUGUUUGCCAGGCCUUGUCAGCACCUAGCCGUGCAGAGCCUGCACCAGCCCUGAGAUCAGGAAGCAGAGAACCCAUGCCUCUGGCCCGCUUGGCCUCUCAGCCACGGGAAAGACAGCCUUCACUGGGACAGUGGCAGUGUUGUUCGUCGUUGGCUUACAAAGAGGAGUUUUAGAAGAUGCCAAGGCCAGGAAAAGACUAUGAGAGAAAAGAAACCAAAAGUUAAAAUCAGACAACUCUAUCCACUAACUUCCUCUGCUAUGAAUUGGGAAAAGUUGGCCCUGGGCCGUCUUCAAGGGGUGGGCCCGUACCCAGCCUCUAGCAACCUGGAGCCUGUCUGUGAAUCUGCUUUGUUCCAUCAACUAUCCUUGAUGGAUAAAGACACUCAGGCUAAGGAAGCUGUCCUGCUCCCUCAGAUUCCCAGACAGCCUUGUUUUCUGCUGCUAUGCCUGGUAAGUUUUCCACUAGAGCAGUGAUUCCCAACCUGGCUGUACAUUAAUCAACUGGAGAUGCUUAAAAAAAAAAAAAAAAAAAAGCCUCCAUCCCACCAUCUAUUGCAUGUGAAUGUCAGUGGGGAAUUUCCUGGGUGAUUCAGUACACAGCCUUGGUUGAGAUGAGAUCUGACUCUCAGGCGCCCUUAUCAUGGGAUUGGCUGGAGAAGGGGCUCUUUUUCAACGCUCCCGAGCUGUAUUUGCAAAGUGUUUUGUGGAAGGUCCUAAAACUCAAAGGGUCUUGUGCUAAAACCAGUCAGCACUGAGAGUUAUCUGACACUUAGGGAAGAGUUCCAGGGUGAGGACUUGGGUCAGCUGCAGGACGCUUGGAUUGGAGGUCACGCCCAAAGAGGGGUCACCUGUGCCUUGUUCAAUUCAGUGACCGCCAGGUUAAAGUGAGCAUCCUAGUGGCUGCGGUGAACACUGGGGUGUGGGGCCCUCAUCGCCUCAUGGCAAGAGAGCUGCUCUGCCUAAGGCCAUGUGCCCCUCAAGGAGAGGGUCCCACGUGGGGCAGCACUGCAGACCAGCUGCAUGCAGAACUCAGGCAAUGGUGGCUAGUUUGAUCCUGGUGGCCAGCACUGAGGAUCAUCGUUAACUGUGAUGAAUAUAACCACACCUUUCUUGGCUUCCAUGUCCCGGUCUGUGACAUGUUGGGUGACUCCUAAUGAUCUCCAGUUCCCUUCCUGCUCUGCUGUCACUAGGACUGAUCACACCAGUUUCCAGAGAGCAUGGCGACACAGUUGCUGUUGGAAGCAGCCCUGAGUGGCUUGGCCACCAUUUCUGAGGUCUGGGCUGAGAGAAUUUGCAUUUUUCUAUAACUGACCACUUGUGCCAGCCAAGAUGGAAUAAGUGCACUGCUGUCUAGUGUCCCACUGGAAAUGCUGAAAACUUGGGGGGGAACAUAAGGAACAACUCCCUGAGCCCUCUAAAAAGGCAGCUCCACCUGUGGAGCUGUACCACACUAUGCUGCUGGUCCUGGUGCUGGAAGCCCUGAAACUUUGAUGAAAGACCCAACUCUCCAACCAGAGGAACUGGAAAAGGAGUGGGGUGAAUCCCUUUUUAUUUCUUCCUCUUUACUGUUGCCACUUGGCUCCAAAGAUGGCCCCAGUCAUGUGGAACUACAUAAUAGCACAAAUAAUUAAAAAGCUAAGAAAAACCUGAUGUUCCAGACAGAAAAAAACUGGAAAAAGGGCUCAUUGUUUUAAAGAUGUGGAGAUAAUCCCUGUUAAUUUUUUUGUCCUUUCUUUUGCCACUGUAUUCCUAAGGUAGUCCUAGUCAUGCAGAGUUGCAUGGCAGUGCAGGAAGCUAAAUCUUGGAGAUAACACUCUCUUUCUGUCCAGAAGAACCAGGAAAGGAGGCCCCUGAAUGCCAAAAAUUGUGAGAGAUAUCCUGGAAAUUGUCAGUGAACUUGAAGGUUAAUCGAUAGGAAUUACACAGCCUGCAGAUUGAGAGAAAAAUGAAAUAAAAAAAAACAAAAACAGAGCCUCAGGCACCUGUGAAACAAUAUCAAAAAGUCUAAUACUCUUAUUUUUGGAGUCUUGGAAGAAGAGGAGGAGGAUACUGGUGCAGAAAAAUAUUGAAGAAAUAAUGGUUGUAAACUUCCCAGACUUGAUGAAAAACAUAUGUAUAAGUUCAAGAAGGUUAACAAACUCUAAACAAGAUAAACUUUAAAAAAUGCAUUAUAAAUGAAAAUCAAAGGUAAAGGAAAGACAAUUAAAAGCAGCCAGAUUAAAACAGUAUACUAUGUAUCAGAGAAUAGUACUUUGGAUAAUUGCAAAUUUCUCAUCAUAAAUUAUGGAAGCAGGAAGAUGGUGGAACAACAUCUGUAAAUUACUGAAAGGAAAUGAUUGUCAACCCAGAAUUCUAUAUCUAGCAAAAAUAUCUUAGAAAUGACAGUGAAAUAAAGACAUACUCAGAUUAAGGGAAAGUAAGAGAAUGUGUCACUAACAGACCUACAAAGGAAAUGCUUAGCCAAGUUCUUCAGGAAGAAGGAAAAAUGAUCUGGAGGAACACUUGGAACUUCAAGAAUGACAUUAGAGCAACAGAAAUGGUAAAUAUCAGAGAAACUACUAAUAAACGAAUACAAAAAGAAACAGCCAGAAAGGACAAUGGAUUAUUUAAAAUGGAAUAAAAAAUAUAUUCAAAUAACCCAAGGAAGCAGGACCAUGAGAAGAGGGUAACACAAAGCAAAAGAAAUGAACAAAAUCUCCUUCCCCCUAUGAUGAAGAAGAACUGGUCUGUGUGACCAACAGAAUAUGACAGAAUUGACGGUGUGUUGCUCCUGAGGUGAGGAUAUUAAAAACACUGCAGCUUCUCCAUGGAACUCUUGGGUUCUUCAUUCUGGGGAGAGCAAGAUGCCAUGUCAAUGAGGACACUCCAAAAAACCGUGGAGAGGCUCAUGUGGAGAGAAAGCAACCUGCCAACCAGGAUUUAAGGCAGGGAUUUCCCUUGGAACCACAGCAGAGCCUCAGGUGUGGACCUUGCUGACGUCCUCCUACAUGAGCAGAGUCUGCGGCUUGGAAAGCGUGGCCCCUCCUGCAGGUCCCAGGGCUGGCGACAUCCUCCAGGAGUUGACGGCAGGCAGUACACACAGGUGCCGGGCUGAGCACCAGGGAGUGGUGCUCCAAAUGCCCGCACAACCUCUCCUGGGACUCUGGCCACAAAGAGAAAAACGUGGAAUUUGGAACAAAAACCCAGUUUCCAAACCCAGCUCUGCUGUUGCUUUAUUCUCUUGGGAAGUCAGCAGGCUUCCCUGAGCCCCAUCUAUAAAGUGGGCCUAAUAAUAUCUGCCACUUCCUGUCUUAGAUGUUACGCUUGAUCCAACAAGCAAAUGUACAUGAAAGUGCUUUGUCAAUCCCUAUAGCAGACCCAAUGUGAUUGUUAUCUCAAUGUCGCUAAGUCUACAGUUCUCCUUUGGUCUUUCCACUAAAUUGGCAGCUUUAUGGGGUGACUAAGUCUCUGUCAUGAGAGCUUUGUUGAGGGAGGUCUUGUGUGUUCUGCACCCAAAUGCAGACCUUCACAUUUGUCCCUGUAAAUUAAUAGCUUGUUGGUCACAGCCUACUUUAAGUGUCUCUCCAAGCUUUGUUCAGUUUGAAAAUGUCAUUAAUUUUGCCACCAAAUUUUUGCCUGGGUUAUUCAUAAAAUGUUGGCCCCUUCUGGGUCCAGGACAGAGUUCUCCUUGAACCUCAGGUUAGCCAUGGCUAACCUGAGAUGAUUAUUCUGCUUGGGCCACAACCAUGUAACCAAUUUCAAGUCAGUGCAGUUGCUUCUGGAGUCUUCCUCGCUGCCCUGCCUGCCUGUCUUGGUUCCUUUUUCUGCUUUACUCCUGUGGUUGUGACACUCACCAAGUGUGUGACGUGGAGGCUGAUUGAGGUUUCUAUUUUGCAUCAUCUUCAACUGCAAAAUGGGGACUGAUCCUGGCAUCUGUUUUACAUCAGCCAGUGGAUUAGUAUGUUCAUGACAGGUAAAGCCCCUAUGCCAGGCUUCCUCAGCCUCUGCCCCAUUGACACUUUGGGCCCGGUGAUUCUCUGUGGCAGGGGCUGUCCUGCACCUUGCAGGAAGUUUAGUAGCAUCCCUGGUCUCCAUUCAUUCACUGAUGCCAGCAGCACCCUCCACACCCCUCCCCAGCUGAGAAAAUCCAAACUGUCCCCAGACGUGGCCAAGCUUGUCCAGGGGGAUGAGACCUCCCUGGAUGAGAAGCACUGACCUGGACAGCAAAGCACAGGUUUGUGCUGUGUGCGUGUUCGCUGUCGCCUGCGUGUCCCAGCUCUGUCCUGACGGCAUGGAACACGGAGGUGUAUCCUCCUCCCGGAGUUCUCAGGAUGAUUAGGACGCCCCACGUUCCCAGGCUUUCUGCGAGGCUGUCAUGACUGCACAAACAUCCUGCUAAGUUGCAGGUUUCAGCCCCCGCAGCACCCCGAUCCAUUGCCCCUCGGACCCUGCUCAGGGGCAAUCCCACCCCUAAUGAGGGCAGAGGAGGUGGAGGAGGCACUGGAUAUAAAGCUGCUGUGUAACACACAAAGCACUGUUCAGAAAUCAGUGUUACUAUCUCACCCUGGAUGGCACAGAGUGGAUUUAGGAGCAAAGAUAAAUUGCUUGGCUCUUGCGACUCUGACCUCUGGAUCAUAUUUGCUUCCCUGUGAACAAUGCAGAUUGUCCUGCAAGCUGUUUACAGCUGAGAAUAAGCAGAGGGCAAAGCAGUUAGCCUCCUUCAACCACGGCUGCUGCAUCCUUAACCAAUGUUAGCACCUUCCUCACAGGGCGCUGAGAAAGAAAUUAGGCACUGGUUAAAUUGUAAAGCACUGAACAAAGCAUAGGCUGGUAUACGGAUAACGAUGCACAACUCUGUAGCUCUGGGGUUAGUUCUCAAAAAGCACCUUCAAACUUUCUGAUUAAUAAUAGCACUGUCCCACUAAGAACUUAGCCUCCUUACCAGAUGCACACUGGUAAGUGUAUUCAAAGGAUUCACUAUUGCUUGUUGGCUAUGCCAUGCAUUAUAGAUCAUGCCCCAACUGGUUUUAAUACGACCUUAUUCGCCUCUCCAAAUUCUUUAUAAAUAAAGGAUGAUGCAGUUAAAAGAAGGAGUAACAAUGAACCGUGCAUCAGAUGUGGGGUGAACAAGCAGGCCCAGGCCCCACUAUGGGGUGAUUCAACUCAAGAGAGUGGGAGGAGGAUGGAAGGGAACAGGGAAUGUGGCUUCUGCACCAUCCCCUCCACAGCUCAGUGUCUGCCCCCAUGCCAUUCUAGUUUUGCAAUUUCACCUUCAUGAGUCUGUCUCUUUGUGUGAUUUUGAAGCUGUUCUGUGGAUACUAUCAUUGCAGUAUCUUCUUUCAUUUCCUUCUCCGGAAAUUAAUAAGAUUUGCUUCUUAAAAAUAAACCUGAA